rnacentral:rRNA from 1 species
GAUGAACGCUGGCGGCGUGCCUAAUACAUGCAAGUCGAGCGAAUGGAUUAAGAGCUUGCUCUUAUGAAGUUAGCGGCGGACGGGUGAGUAACACGUGGGUAACCUGCCCAUAAGACUGGGAUAACUCCGGGAAACCGGGGCUAAUACCGGAUAACAUUUUGAACCGCAUGGUUCAAAAUUGAAAGGCGGCUUCGGCUGUCACUUAUGGAUGGACCCGCGUCGCAUUAGCUAGUUGGUGAGGUAACGGCUCACCAAGGCAACGAUGCGUAGCCGACCUGAGAGGGUGAUCGGCCACCAUGGGACUGAGACACGGCCCAGACUCCUACGGGAGGCAGCAGUAGGGAAUCUUCCGCAAUGGACGAAAGUCUGACGGAGCAACGUGGCGUGAGUGACGAAGGCUUUCGGGUCGUAAAACGCUGUUGUUAGGGAAGAACAAGUGCUAGUUGAAUAAGCUGGCACUUUGACGGUACCUAGCCAGAAAGCCACGGCUAACUACGUGCCAGCCGCCGCCGUAA